rnacentral:rRNA from 1 species
CCUACGGGCGGCUGCAGUGGGGAAUAUUGGACAAUGGGGGCAACCCUGAUCCAGCCAUGCCGCGUGUGUGAAGAAGGCCCUCGGGUUGUAAAGCACUUUCAGUGAGGAAGAACGCCUGGUGGUUAAUACCCAUCAGGAAAGACAUCACUCACAGAAGAAGCACCGGCUAACUCCGUGCCAGCAGCCGCGGUAAUACGGAGGGUGCGAGCGUUAAUCGGAAUUACUGGGCGUAAAGCGCGCGUAGGUGGCUUGAUAAGCCGGUUGUGAAAGCCCCGGGCUCAACCUGGGAACGGCAUCCGGAACUGUCAAGCUAGAGUGCAGGAGAGGAAGGUAGAAUUCCCGGUGUAGCGGUGAAAUGCGUAGAGAUCGGGAGGAAUACCAGUGGCGAAGGCGGCCUUCUGGACUGACACUGACACUGAGGUGCGAAAGCGUGGGUAGCAAACAGGAUUAGAUACCCGUGUAGUC